AUUAAGUGAUGAUUUCUGCUUUUGGUCCGUGUUUAUGAACCGAUUCACUAUCGGAUGAUUUUAUCUUUCAAAAGCUCUGAUUAU